ensembl:lncRNA
CUCCUGAGUACAGCCCUGCUGAUUUCAAAUCUCCUCUAUAAUCAGCCGCCCACAGGUCACUCCAUGACCUGUGGGCGGCUGGAGUCUGACAUGCACCCUCGUUUAUUUUCAUUAAGAUCUUUUUGUUGGAAAUUCACCUAAAAGCUUUUUUACUCAUUUUUCAUUUAAACCAGCAGCUGAAGUCUGGAUGGGUGAUGGAGGAGCUACACCUUCAGCCAAACCCCUCCAACCUCUUCACGGCACUGCAUUAUUACCUCCACUAAGCAGCAUUAGCGUGUUGCUCUGUGUGCAAACGUGACAGCUGGAAACGUUUGAAUGAACUCAUGUUUUUUUUUCUUUUUUUCUUUUUUGUGUGUGUCCCGUUUGGAUCUUUAGCCAUCAGAAUUGUUGUCUUAAGGCCAAGAAAGAUGCCAAGCGGAUUUAUUUUACCAAGUGGAUCAUCAUGGCCUUGCUAUAUUGGUCCAUUUGAUUGACCUUUAUUAUAAUUAUGUAUUUAUUUUAUUUUCGGUUGCUACAAACGUGACUGGGGGAUAGGACAGGGAGAAAGAAUGAAAGAAAGAGAGGGAGAGAAAGAAAAACAGAGGGGAGAAGAGACGGUGGGAAAGGGGGGAAGAAAGAAAGAAAAACAAACAAAACACCUGGAUCACCUGUAUGGAGAAAAAAAACAGAAGAGAAAGCAAACAAAAAAAGAGCAACAUAAUAAAAAACAGCACCAUCACAAUAAACUAGCUAGCAGUAGAUAACAGUAGAUGCUAAAUAAUAAACGAUAUUGUGCAGCACGCAAGAUAGACAGUGCACAAUGUGCUUUGAGGCAGCAGCCAAGAAAGCUGUAGUCCGCGUCUGUGAACACCCGUGUGUACACCUGUGUGAAUCAGCAUGCUUGUUUUCCAAAGGUUUCUCCAUGUAAUGAUCUGCUAGGGAGUGUGGGGAGCCAUAGCCCCGUCCCCCAGGGCAUGAAGCAGGUAUGGAGGAGAUCCAGGCCCCAGACAUCCAGAGGCCCCAGAGUACGAGGACCCGAGGAGGACCACCAAAAGGGGGGAACCAUGCCACCCUCCUGGGAAGAGCUGAGUAGAGCCCCAAACGAGAGGUCACCCAGCAGCUACGGAGCAGAGGCCAGAGGGGGUUGCAGUGGCAUGCCCGCGGGCUCUGCCGGCAGCCAGCUGUGCCAGAGAGGACCGAGCUUCAGGCCCAGAGGCCAGUGGCCUGAGGGCGCCCCACCCCCCGGAAGGGGCCCAGCCAGGCCACAGGCGCUAGGCCCUGCCAAUCGGCCACCAGGAGUGAGCCAGUACAUACAUGAGCGCCCAGCCCCAGUUGACAAGAACCACCAACACACCAACGUCUGAGGGCAUCAGCCACCGGCAGGGAGUGUGGUGAGGGGAGAUAGGCCUCCGUACUUAGGAGGGCCUGAGAUGUACCCAGAGAGGUUGAGUCAAAGACCCAACCUGACAUAUAGACACAGACAAAC